ensembl:snoRNA
AGUUUUAUAUUUAAGCCUGUGGAUGGGAACUUUCCCCAUUCUUGGUUAUGCUGUAGUACAAAAGAAUUCCUGACUCCUUUGGCUGCACGGCCAACUUGCACCAUUCUGCUGUUGCUCUAUGGAGUUGAGGAACAUAC